rnacentral:miRNA from 1 species
CUGACUUGUAUUCUCGCUGCCC